UUCUCCUAUUUAUGUGCUUAAUUAUGAUUUCUUUGGCUUCAAUUUCAGCUUAUUCAGUAAAACUAUUAUUUCUUUGUGCGAAUUGUGGGUGAAAAAUUGUGACUCAUUCUUUAUUUUAUCUGUUUCUCUUUCAAAUUAUAGGGCUUAUUUUACUUGUAUUUGCAAAUUUAUUGUUUGAAUGUCCAAAUAAUUUAGGAGAAAAUAAACUGUGAGUUAUCUUUUUGGAUUCACUCUUUUAUUCUUUGCUGUAUUGGUUUGAGCCAACUUUUGCUCUAUAUCUGUUUGUGAUAAUUCUCGAUCGAAACUGCCUGUUUGGAAGACACAGGAGGAAUAUUAGUUGUUCCGCACAAAUUAGGUAGUUUACUUGAGGUAUCGAGCUAUAUUUGAAAUAUUCUUACUGAAAUAAAACACUAUAUUUCCUUGUGAAUUUUGAUGAUCGCUAGACUCGGGGCUGUUGUUUCUUAAAUUAAAUGGGACAAGUUAUAAGGUGAAGAACAGGAAUUUGGAGCUGGACAUAUUUACAGUGAUGGCAAAAAUAAAUAUAUUUAUUCAGAAAAUAAGAAAACUUCUACUUCUUCGAGUGUUCCAACAAAAUGCUCCUACAACAAGAGGAUUCGAAAUAGAGAGUGCUGAAAAAGAGAAAAGGAACUAAGAAAAAGUGAAGAGCUUCUUACUGUGAUAAAGAAGAAUGUGGAACAAGGGUCGUGGCCACGUGAAGAAGAUAAUAAACACAAAGAAUUCAUUGAAAGGAAGAAACUACUGGAAACUGAAUUACUACUUUCUUUUAAUUUCGUUGCCAGAAACUGCCGUCCAAAUGAAGUAAGCAUGGACUAGAAAGCACCCCAUCCUAUUUAAAUUAUACACAGAAUUAAUUUUAGCCUUUCCUUAGAAUCCUUUGAGGCCCAAGUUAUGAAUAUAACUGAGUAAAGCUCUUACUGAAAAGCGCCAAAAAUAGCUUUUGUAGCCUAACAUGCCCAUUAAUCUACGUUGUCAUUUGUAGGAUCAAGUACCACACAUGUUCCAACCAUUUCUGCACUUAGAUGUACGACUGUUAUAAAGUUGUGGAAGAAUAAGAAUAAGACGCUUAAUACAAAGAGGAACCCACAAGUUGCUACAUUGAAUGGUGAUAAGUCAUUUGGGAUGUUGCAGUUCCAUGUAUGUAUAAAUACUUCUCAGUGAAUUCAGACAGAGUUAGAAGUUCUUCAGAAGAGAAUUAUUACCCUUUUUGAGGAAUUCUGAAUCAGCUCAUGUAGAAGAUUUCUCAAAUACGUUAGGAAAGAAGUUUGAAAUCUUAAGCAGGAUCACAAUUUAUCCUCAAGCCAAUGAUAUGAAUGCCUUUGAAUAUUUAAAGAAUGUCAAUUUUCUUCCACCUGCCUUGCCUGACGCUGUCAUUUAUGUUGCUUCUUGGAUGUCUCUCUGCUCCUUCACCAUCUUUGUUGCUCAUUCAAAUCUUUGUUCUGAUUUCCUUCCUUCAGCUUCUUUCAGUGAUUUUAAGGCUGGGAGCUAUAAGCUCUUUUAAAUUUCUCAAGAUUUGUCAUCAAUCACUUUCCUCCGACUUUAGUUCAUGUUAUAUUUCAUUUUUUCCUUUUUCCUUUUUCUGAUUGCGUUUGAUUUUUUUAUUCUUUAUUUUUGUUAUUAAUAACAUAAUAUUGUUGUUUCAAAGGUAAAUCAAUUGAUCCUGCCACAAUCAGGAUUCACCAACAUUUUACAUAUUUUUUCUAACCAUACACAAUACAACUAUCAAAUACAAGCUGCUGUAUCGCUCAAAAGACGGGUUGACAUAGAUGUAGAUAUAUCUCUAUUCGUACAUGGUUUGCUGGGAGUCAAGAAUAUCACGUGCUUGCUACAUGUGCACAUCAUGGCUGUUGUAUCGGUUGGUGUACAUGUUCCUCUACUAUUGCUUCUACUGAAAUUCAGGAGUUCUUGCGAUGUUUAAAUCUUUGAUGUGAAAUAAUUCUAUUAAGCGUGAGUAGAGAGAAAAUCCUUGGAGAUCAUAGCUGGUCAAGUAUGAAUUUUCCCACAAAGCUAUGAACGGAUUGCGCAAUUGGCACCAAGACCUUCAGUUUCUCAAUCUGCCACAACUACUCCCGAAUUCAAUGCAUAGGAGAAAUUUUAAUAUUCUGGCCUGUCCCAUUUUUGAAUUGUUUGGUGCUUUGCAGUAUAAUUUUGGCCCAAUACUUUACAUUAUAUGAUGAAAUUAAAAUUUUUUUCUUACCAAA